AUUACUAAACAUUUAAAUUUCUAAGUUCAUGUGAGAUUCGAUACGGAAUUAUCAUAGGAAUGUUUAUGGAAAAAAAAUAAAAUAAAAUAAAAUUCCUGUAAAACCAUUCAAACUCCAAGACAACAUUCACAACACAGUAUCGACAAUUCCAACGUUCACAGAGGAGACUCCGGCGUCUGCCACUUCUAACGUUCAUCAAUGACGUCAACGGCAUUCCAGUCGUCUUCUUUCCUCCUUCACCUCGUACAGCAGGGGUUGUGUUUCUUGCAUUUGUUUUGGGUAUUAUCAACACCUGAAACAGUAGCAGUCAUAUUAGCAUUAAUCUGUUGAGGAGAAGUUUGGGGAAUUACCUGAUUGCUGGCAUCUGCAGUCUUCUUGCCCUUGAUUUUGUUUGCAGCUUCAGCAAAUAAAGGUUGGCGUGGCUUGCAGCAGCAGUUGAUGGCCUUCAUUUUGUGGCCUGGCUGUCCACCACUGUUGCACCCUUGCCUGCAGUGAUGAGUGAUCUGCCUGCAGCCCUGCACUUGCUGCAAAAAAGUUCCACACCCUAGCUGCAAAAGGUCCUGAAUUGAAGGUGUGGUCGAUGCUGUCCAUGCCUGCUCUAUCAAAACAACAAAAACAAGGUGAUGGCUCAAUGCCAAAGUUAGAGAGUUUUUCAUUUGUAGGAAGUUUACCUUUUAGUGUUCUCCAUAAAAGAAAAGAAGAUUUAAAAGGAAUGAAUUUAUGCUAUAAAAGGGAAUUGAGGUUGUUCUUAGCCUUUUUGUUUCUGAUUUCCUCCCAACCAGUGGAGCAACUGAAACUGCCAUGGCUGCUAAGUUUCCAUAAAGCUUGGUCAGGCAUGUGCUGCUGAUGAGGGAUUUCUGUGGCCAUGAUGCUGCCUAGGUGGCUGACUGCUGCUGGUAUGAUGAGCUAAUGGCCAUGUUCCAAGCCAAUUGUCCCACCAAAAUGAACAAUUCCCGGAUUGAAGUCUCCAAUGAAUGUGCUGUUCCAUUUGCUGUCUAGUAUUUAACAUGUGUUUCCAAGUUAAAGAUUCUCCCGUAUCCCAUUUUUUGCUCACCGGAUUUGAUCUCUGGCAGUAUUUAGCUCUCAAGAAGUCUACCCACAAGGUCAAUGAUUGCAGCAGAUUGUGUACCGCCAGUGAGGCUUAUCAACAGAGUACUAAAGAUGAUUGGGCAGAGUGGAUAGGCAUUUCAACAUUGAACUUUUGAAAGAAUCACCUAGUCCAGCAAUAAGAACAUGUACAACACUGGCUCAACUACAGCCUUUUUGUUGGGCGAGAGCUGUUUGCUGCAGGUUUUGUUAGUUGCUGGUCACAACUUAGUGAGGCUAGUACGGAGUUUAGAAAUGACAUUUUCUUCUCCAAAUAUCCCACCUGAAAUUCUUGCUACACUUCUUAACUUGGAUGGUGAUGCUUGAAUAUUCACUGCUUGUAAACUUGAAAAGGUUGAAUGAUCUUCAAUUGUCAAGGCGAAUUUCCAUCGAAAUCUUCUAUAAUGAUCUUGCACAGACAGUCUCCAAGGCUUAGCUCGAGUGGAAAAAGGGGAUGGAUUUGAGUCUUAGGUCGCAGGUUCAAGCCCACACCAUGCAAAGUGAAGCCCGAUAUUUAAGUGGAGAAGGGUAGAGGGGCGGGUCCAUUAUCCACUGAGUUUAGAAGGCUAUGAUUGGUCCAAAGGGUGGGCCACAGGCGGAUUUCUCGGUUAUCAUAACAAAAAAGAAAGAUCUCGCAGAGACUUUCGCGAACUCCAGAAGUUUUGAUGAUAGAAUGGCUCGCCAAUAGGGAUGGUAGUAUUUUCUUGAAUGACGGGCUCUUGAAGAUGAAGUGCAUGCUCCAAAUUCCAUAGCACCUCACCCAUAGAUGGCCUGUGCACCAGAUUCAGCUAAGUAUUUCACUGCGUUUCUCCAAAGUUGCUGAAGGAAUCUGGUCUUACUUCGCCCAGAAUGUCGGGAUAUAUGAUAUGUUCCAGUUGUCUUUUCUCCUGCAAAUUCAUUGCCCAGUCAGCUAAGUUGACCUGCUCCCUCGGAAGAGAUUGAUCUCGGGCAGGCCUAGCACUUUAACUUCACAUAAAAUGGUUACCAUUGGAGGAAGAAGGAUGCUGAGGAAACUGUUAAAGAACUAUUAAAGACAAUCACCAAAAGGUGAAGAUGUUUUUGAAAGUCUUGGAGCACCUUUGAUGUUGUUUAAACCCACAAAAGAUUCAAGUGUGGCUAUUUUUUGACUAGGAGCUGUUGGCCUUAUUGCUGCAGACGGAGUAAAAAUUGCUAGUGCUUCAAGGAUAAUUUGUGUCGAUUUAAAUGCUAGCUGAUUUCAGUAAGCUAAGAAAUUUUGUGUGACAAAGUUUGUGAACCCGAAGGAUUAAAGUAAACUAGGUCAAGAGGUAAUUGCUGAGAUGACUGAUUGAGUGUGAAGUGUACUGGCCAUAUAGAUGUUAUGAUUUCAGCAUUUGAAUUGUCCAUGAUGUGUGGUAGUGGCUGUCCUUAUUGUUAUGUACCCCAUAAGGAAGCUGUGUUCAAGACACACUUUUGAACUUUUUAAUGAAAGUACUAUCAAAGUAACCUUCUUUGGAAACUGGACACCUCGUUCAGAUAUUCCUUCUUUUGUUGAGAAAUACAUGAAUAAGGAACUUGAAUUGGAGAAAUUCAUCACUCAUACACUUCCCAUACUAUGAAAUCGACAAGGCUUUUUUAAUUAAUGUUGAAGGGAGAAGGCCUUCGUUGCAUCAUCACCAUGGGAGUGCUAAACUUACUAUCCUAGAAAAGGAGUUUCUAGCUAGUCGCUUUUAUUUGAGAAAAGACCAAGAAUUGGGUGGAACACUAUGAGAAGGAUCCGAAAGCUCCAAUGGCUAGACUAUUGAACAUGAUGUUUGAGGUAAUUUGAUUUUUAAAUGUUUUGUCUUUCUGAUGAACGAGGCAUCUUUUAAUCAUGGUGAAAGGGAAGCUCUGAGAUCUUGUAUAAAUGCUUUGAAUUUCUGGGCUACUGAGAUUUGGUGGGAGUUACAAGACUUCACCCUCAACAUAUUGAAAAGGAUUAUAGAUGAGCUCAUUAUCAACGUAUCAUUGUUCCAGAAAUGGGCAUUAGUGCAGUAUGGAGAACUGUAGUAUUUAAGAUGGAGACUUUCAUCAAAUGCUCCCUCAGAUGUCUGCCUAGUCUUCCUUCAGGAUUUUAAAUCUUUCGUCCUUCUGAUUAAAGUGGCAUUUAUUUAGAAUGGUUGUGUUCUUUUUUCAGAACAUUGGCUAAUCAGGAAAGCAACCCUUGUAUCAUCCACAUAGCUAGAAGCUUUGGGGUACUCAUCAGAUAUAUGCAACGGAAGCAGCUUCCAGACUUGGUAAACUGAUGAUGGAUGCCCUUAUUUUCAUGCAUAUGGAAUUGAGAAGAUCCUAUGGACCUGAAGAGUGGUUGCCCUCAGUGGAUCUGAUGGAAUAAGCUUGAACUAGGCAGUGAAAGGACAUAGCUUGGUGGAUGGCUGUCAUACGGGAGGUGAUGUUUGAAUAUUCACUGCUUGUAAACUUGAAAAUGUUGGAUGAUCUAUAAUUAUCGAAGUAAAUUUCCAUUGAAAGCUUGCAUAAUAAUCUUGCACAGACUGCCUCCAAGGCUUAGCUCUAGUGGAAGAAGGUGGUGUCGCAGGUUUGAGCCCCACACCAUGCAAAGUAAAGCCCGGAAUUUAAGUGGAGAGGGGUAGAGGGCGGGCCUAUUAUCCACUGAGUUUAGAAGGCUAUGAUAGGUCCAAAGAGCGGGUCACAGGAGGAUUUCUCGGUUAUCAUAACAAAAAAGAAAGAUCUCGCAGAGACUUUCGCGAACUCCAGAAGUUUUGAUGAUAGUGAUAGCUCGCCAAUAGGGAUGGUACUGUUUUCUUGAAUGACGGGCUCUUGGAGAUGAAGUGUAUUCUCCAAAUUCCUUAGCACCUCACCCAUAGAUUGAAUGUGCACCAGAUUCAGCUAAGUAUUUUACUGCGUUUCGCCAAAGUUGCUGAAGGAAUCUGGUCUUACUUCGCCCAGAAUGUCGGGAUAUAUGAUAUGUUCCAGUUGUCUUUUCUCCUGCAAAUUCAUUGUCCAGUCAGCUAAGUUGACAUGCUCCCUCGGAAGAGAUCAAUCUCGGGCAGGCCUAGCACUUUAACUUCGCAUAAAAUGGUUACCAUUGGAGGAAGAAGGAUGCUGAUGAAACUGUAAAAGAACUAUUAAAGACACUCACCAAAAGGUGAAGAUGUUUUUGAAAGUCUUGGAGCACCUUUGAAUGUUGUUAAACCCACAAAAGAUUCAAGUGUGGCUAUUUUUUGACUAGGAGCUGUUGGCCUUAUUGCUGCAGACGGAGCAAAAAUUGCUAGUGCUUCAAGGAUAAUUUUUGUCGAUUUAAAUGCUAGCUGAUUUCAGUAAGCUAAGAAAUUUUGUGUGACAAAGUUUGUGAACCCGAAGGAUUAAAAGUAAACUAGGUCAAGAGGUAAUUGCUGAGAUGACUGAUUGCAAAUAUGAUCCGAGUGUGAAGUGUACUGGCCAUAUUGAUGUUAUGAUUUCAGCAUUUGAAUUGUCCAUGAUGUGUGGUAGUGGCUGUCCUUUUUGGUAUGUAACCCCAUAAGGAAGCUGUGUUCAAGACACACCUUUGAACUUUUUAAUGAAAGUACUAUCAAAGUAACCUUCUUUGGAAACUGGACACCUCGUUCGGAUAUUCCUUCUUUUGUUGAGAAAUACAUGAAUAAGGAACUUGAAUUGGAGAAAUUCAUCACUCAUACACUUCCCAUACUAUGAAAUCGACAAGGCUUUUUUAAUUAAUGUUGAAGGGAGAAGGACUUCGUUGCAUCAUCACCAUGGAGUGCUAAACUUACUAUCCUAGAAAAGGAGCUUCUAGCUAGUCGCUUUUGUUUGAGAAAAGACCAAGAAUUGGGUGGAACACUAUGAGAAGGAUCCGAAAGCUCCAAUGGCUAGACUAUUGAACAUGAUGUUUGAGGUAAUUUGAUUUUUAAAUGUUUUGUCUUUCUGAUGAACGAGGCAUCUUUUAAUCAUGGUGAAAGGGAAGCUCUAAGAUCUUGUAUAAAAGCUUUGAAUUUCUGGGCUACUGAGAUUUGGUGGGAGUUGCAAGACUUCACCCUCAACAUAUUGAAAAGGAUUUUAGAUGAGCUCAUUAUCAACGUAUCAUUGUUCCAGAAAUGGGCAUUAGUGCAGUAUGGAGAACUGUAGUAUUUAAGAUGGAGACUUUCAUCAAAUGCUCCCUCAGAUGUCUGCCUAGUCUUCCUUCAGGAUUUUAAUACUUUUGUCCUUCUGAUUAAAGUGGCAUUUAUUUAGAAUGGUUGUGUUCUUUUUUCAGAACAUUGGCUAAUCAGGAAAGCAACCCUUGUAUCAUCCACAGAGCUAGAAGCUUUGGGGUACUCAUCAGAUAUAUGCAACGGAAGCAGCUUCCAGACUUGGUAAACUGAUGAUGGAUGCCCAUAUUUUCAUGCAUAUGGAAUUGAGAAGAUCCUAUGGACCUGAAGAGUGGUUGCCCUCAAUGGAUCUGAUGGGAUAAGCUUGAACUAGGCAGUGAAAGGACAUAGCUUGGUGGAUGGCUGUCAUACGGGAUGGUGAUGUUUGAAUAUUCACUGCUUGUAAACUUGAAAAUGUUGGAUGAUCUUCAAUCAUCGAGGCAAAUUUCCAUCGAAAGCUUGCAUAAUAAUCUUUUACAGACUGCCUCCAAGGCUUAGCUCGAGUGGAAGAAGGUGGUGUCGCAGGUUUGAGCCCCACACCAUGCUAAGUGAAGCUCGGAAUUUAAGUGGAGAGGGGUAGAGGGCUGGCCUAUUAUCCACUGAGUUUAGAAGGCUAUGGUUGGUCCAAAGAGCGGGUCACAGGCGGAUUUCUCGGUUAACAUAACAAAAAAGAAAGAUCUCGCAGAGACUUUCACGAACUCCAGAAGUUUUGAUGAUAGGUGAUAGCUCGCCAAUAGGGAUGGUACUGUUUUCUUGAAUGACGGGCUCUUGGAGAUGAUGUGUAUUCUCCAAAUUCCUUAGCACCUCACCCAUAGAUGAAAUGUGCACCAGAUUCAGCUAAGUAUUUCACUGCGUUUCUCCAAACUUGCUGAAGGAAUCUGGUCUUACAUUGCCCAGAAGGUCCGGAUCUAUGAUAUGUUCCAUCUAUCUCUUCUCUUGCAAAUUCAUUGCCCAGUCAGCUAAGUUGACAUGCUCCCUCGGUAGAGAUCGAUCUCGGGCAGACCUAGCACAAAGAACUUCACAUAAAAUGGUCACCAAUGGAGGAAGAAGAAGGAUGGUGAAACUGUUCAAGACACUCACCAAAAGGUGAAGAUGUUUUUGAAAGUCUUGAGCACCUUUGAAUGUUGCUAAACCCACAAAAGAUUCAAGUGUGACUAUUUUUUGACUAGGAGCUGUUGGCCUUAUUGCUGCAGACGGAGCAAAAAUUGCUAGUGCUUCAAGGAUAAUUUGUGUCGAUUUAAAUGCUAGCUGAUUUCAGUAAGCUAAGAAAUUUUGCGUGAAAAAGUUUGUGAGCCUAAAGGAUUAAAGUAAACCAGGUCAUGAGGUAAUUGCUGAGAUGACUGAUUGCAAAUUUGAUCCGAGUGUGAACGGGGUAAGGUGGGGGGGUUUGGAAGGGUAAGGGGGUAAGGGUGGGGAGGUGUGGGUUCGGAAGGUGUCGUG